ACAAAGUUUCUAAGGACAAAGAUAAUGACGGCAGAGAAGAAGAUGGUAGUUCGGACAAUGAUGAUGGUGACGAGGUGGGAACAAGUGUUCACAUGGGGAGGGAAGUCGAAAUUGAUGGAAACAAGGACAAAGAAGAUGUGGAGGAAGGAAAGGAAGACGAUGAUGAUGAUGAAGGUGAUGACAACAAAGAAGAGAAGGAAGAUGAUGAAGGUGAUGAC
rnacentral:lncRNA from 1 species